UACGUAGGGGGCAAGCGUUGUCCGGAAUUAUUGGGCGUAAAGGGCGCGCAGGCGGUCUUCUAAGUCUGAUGUGAAAUCCCACGGCUUAACCGUGGAAGGUCAUUGGAAACUGGAGGACUUGAGUGCAGAAGAGGAGAGUGGAAUUCCACGUGUAGCGGUGAAAUGCGUAGAGAUGUGGAGGAACACCAGUGGCGAAGGCGGCUCUCUGGUCUGUAACUGACGCUGAUGUGCGAAAGCGUGGGGAUCAAACAGG
rnacentral:rRNA from 1 species